GGCUGCUCUUGCUGCCGCUCAGGCAGCUGCAGAGGUCAUCAGGCUGGAACUGUUUCCUUUACUCCUCCGGGCAGCAGUGGCAGAGACUGGCGGCAAGAAGUGGCGGCUAUUAGGAUUCAGUCGGCUUUCAGAGCUUACCUGGGAUUCUGUUAAAGUCUUCAUCUUUCAGCACAAUCAGUGCUAGAUCUGCCACAAAGAACAGCAUUAAUGAUAUCACAGUGACGGUAAAGUGUGAAUUCCUUGUUAGCGCAAAUUCUGCUUUCUUUUCGUGGAUUUUGUACUAAAAUUUGUGUGUUAUUUGCAGUAGUGUAAUGUUAAUAAAGGACUUUGGAUUAUAUUUCUAAUCAUGAUUUAACUGAAAGAGAGAGCCGUUCUUGAUUGGAAUGUGCUUAAUUUGGGGGUUCUAGUGAGAACGGAGUAUGUAAGUUUUAUUUAUUUAUUUUUUAAAUCCAGAAACAAACAUUAGACUUGAGCUUUUUAAACUAUGGUGCAAAGGUGAAAUGGCCGAAAAUUGUGAUCA